AUUUAAAAAAAUAUUAAAAUCAAUGACCUAUAUUUAUUGGUUGUUUGUUACAUUAUUUGUAACAUAAGUUUUGCUUUUAUUUUGAAUGCACCACCUUGACGGUCUUUCCAUACACCUUAGAAGUUUUUGUGUUUUUGAGAAAUUUUAUAUGGGCGCGUAGUGCACUCGAAUAAUGAGAAUUUAUCAUUUGGCAGGUUUGGCGGGUUUAAGGUUAAACACACUUAUUUAAAUUAAAAAAUAAUGGAUCUAACUUCGACUGUCUUUGAGACCCAACUAAUGUGGAUGACCUAUGCAAGUCUUUCUUCUUAUUUUUAAUCUUUCUCCUUAUUUUUAAGUACAAAAUAAAGUGAUUUAUACCAAAUAAUAAGCCAAAAGCAUUUACUGCACAACUCAAUAUAUUUUAGGUUGUAUAAAUGACCAACAAUACUGCGCCAUUUAGAUGCAUAUACAAAGCUAUAUCUGGCUUAGAUAUUAUAAAUUAGGACAAUGCCUUAAAUUCAAACUUAAGUUAGGGCAACGCCUAAACACAAAAUACAACUAUAAACACUAUAAAGAUCUAAAAUUGAAAGGAGAAUCAAAGACUUUACGCAUUAAAGUCUUAUGAAAAACUGUAGGAAUUUUAUGAGACUAGCCUACCCAUCUCAGCUAUUGUAGGUGAAAACUACCUCCCAAUCAAAAGAAGAAUUUAGUGCAUUGUCCCAACAAUGACACACCCUACCACUAGUACCACAAAACUGUCACUAAUAACACAACACAAACAUGAAAAUGUAUCUCAAACAAUCACUGUUUUUCUACAAAAAUAGAGUAAAUCAUUGGCGGUUUAAUUAACAUUUAUUAAGGGCUCAGAUAUUGUUUUCCAAAGGCUAUUAAGAGAAAAAAAAAAUUUCAUUGGGGACUUUAAUCACCUGAGUCCGUUAAGGGCUUGAGAGUAAAACAAACAGCCUAGACAAUAUAAAAUAGAGUUGGACUAUUGGCACCCCUCCAAAAUUUUUCUGAAACCUAUUUUUCAAUAAUGCUAAGUUUAAUGCCAAAAAUACCCUUAUUUCUAAAUAAACACAUUUAAUUUGUGAAUCUUUUAAUUUUCUAUUCUUUUCUCAAUCCUCACAAACAAAUUUUUAUGGGUGAUAAACUUCUUGAUAAAAAUCAAUUAAUUAAAUAAAAUAUCUGUAAGAUUUUGAUGUAAAAUUUUUUAUUAUGAGCUUUAAAAAAAAGCAGAUAAUUUUGUCAGAAUGUGUUUUGUUUAUUAUCAAUAGAUUAUCUUAGUAAUUGAAGAAAAAAUUAUAGAGAAUUUGAGAAAAAAAUUACAUGUGUGAGUUUGAUAACAGAGAAAAUACAAGAGUUUUUUUUUUUUUAAGAGAGAAAAUACAAAAGUUUGAAGUGAGAUAAAAUAGAUGUGAGAUAUAUUAGAGUAUUUGUCCUUAAAUGUAAUUGUAACAGAAGAGGGGUUUUAAAAGAAUUUUGGAGGGGUGCCAAUAGUCCCACUCUAUAUAAUAACAAAAUGAAUGAUUAGAAGAGCCCAUGAAUAAUAAAGCCUGGUAAGCGUUUUGGAAAAUUUACUGAGACAUAUAUCCAUUUUCAUUGCCAACAGGUCAAUUAGAGAUGGCAAAAAUCCCCACGGGGACGGAUACUCUCGGGGAUUUUCCUCAUUCGGGGAGGAUAUGAGGAUAAUUUCAUACCCAAUUUCUUAUUUGGGGAAGGGACGGGAAUUUUUUUUUUACCCAAUUUCUUAUUCGGGGAGGGGACGGGGAUGAGGUGGAAUCCCCAUCCCCUACCCAUUUCCCCAUUUUAAUUUUUAAUUUUAUUUUUAUUUUUUAAAAUUACUAGAAAAUAAACAAUUAAAAUUUCAAUUACUAGAAGGAAUUAGGAUCGAAGGAUGGAUGUGCUUUCGUAGGAUUUCAAUAUUAAAACUCUAAUUAAACAAUUAAUGGAUCGGCUUUUCCAAAUUUUAAAAUAAUAAAUUACCAGCUUUGAUUAUGGAGUUCUUUAGGUCAUACAGUGAUCAAACAAAUUUGAACGCGGUUAGUCAGAUUUUAAUAACUAAUUGGUACGUGGCGUUGUUAAACCAGAUCGAUGCUACACAAAGUGAAGCCUUUGGACCCAGAUCUAACUUAGAACAGAUCAAUAGUCCGCACGUUCGGGUUUCCAGCCGAUAUACCAACUUAGUUUUAUUUUACCAAAUAAAGUUAAGUUACUUUAAACUUAGUUGAUUCUUUUUAUUGGGCUAUUAUCAGAUUUAAAUUAGGUUCUUUUAAAGGUUUGGGUACAUACACAGUACCAGAUCCGGAUCCCGGAAAUGGUGCUCUGAAGGAAUGGAGGAAGAAGAGAAGAUUUACAACUGAGGAUCGAGAUCCGGUCUCUUUGCCUCAGAGGAAUGUAGAAUUUAUAUGGCAGAUCUGAUACAGAUCAGUCUGCAAACAUGCUUUGAAAAGAAAAAUGCUUUAAAAUAAAUUGCUGGAAUUUAAAUGUGCAUAAAAUUAAAUUGCAGAAAAGUAAAUGCUUUAAAGUAAAUUGCAAAAAUUUAAAUUACAUUGAAAUUUAAAGAACUGAAUUUAAAUAUACAUUUUUGCUUUCUGGCUUUUACAAAUUUUCAAAUCUUUCCAGAAUGGAAGAUUGAAAGACAGGAAGAUUGAAGGUAAAGAACUAGUCUGAUCACCCAAAGCUCUGUGAUAGAACUAUUGUGUAAACAGAAAAUUUCUUUGGAACCCUUCGGAGAGAGAGAGAAGGGGGAGAAGUAGAGAGAGAAGCUCUGAAAAUGAGAAAUGAAAAACCUGAGGAGUCUGAGUCUUCCUCUCGGUUUAUAUACAAAAAUCUUUAAACUGUUCACUGUAGCGGGACUUUAAGUGCACAGUAACAUCUGGAACUCUGCACUGUUCACUGUAGCGGGUUUUUAAGUGCACAGUAACAAUUGGAUCGUAUCUUUGAAUAGUAGAUGCUUUGUACAUAUACAGAAAUACAGACUGACGUACAAUACGGGUGAAGAGACAUGUGCGCUCUCACUUGUUUCCAGGGGACCACCCGAAAAAAAAAAUACUUCUUUUUUUUUUAAGUAAAUAAUCAAAUAAUUAUUUACAAUGCUUUAUCGGAGAGAAAAUGCCGAAACAAUCAUCUUCAUUAUCGUCUCCGAGAGAAAUGAAAGGCUCUUCGUCAUCAUCAACAUCUUCAUCUUCAUCUUCAGAGGAAUCUGCAGCUGAGGACUUUGAUCGUGAGGCGAGGAGCUGUUCCAUGGCUUUGAAAUACUCAUCUUCAGUUUUGGCGCUUGCCAAAAGAGACUGGGCUUUGGAUUUUUGGGUUAGGAAGGUCUGUUGGGCUUUAGAGGCUUCCAGGGUUGGUUGUAGGAGGUUUUUAGAGGAGAGCCAAUAUUUGAUCAUGUUGACAGUCAAUUUGGACUGUUCAUCAAAUUUUGACCACCAUUUGACUUUAAAGGUUCUUUGAAGGAUGACUUGGGAUUCUUGGGUGUGGAAACGGAGGUUCCACGAACAGACCCAUGGUAGGAAGAAGUUUGCACAAAAGCAAAGAAAGGGGGGAAAUCUUUUUUCUGAGACAGAGGGUAAAUAAUGGGCUUUGAAGAGGUUUAGGCAAUUUGUAGCGUUUGGUGUUAGGAUUUGUGGAAUUGGGCCAAAAAGAUUCCACCAAUGCUAAAACCAAUUUGGAAGGCUUUGAACGGUUAUCUUUGUGUUGAAGAAAAAUAACCAAGAAUGGGAUUUUUUAGGGUUUUGGAUAAAAAAGGUGUUAUACCAUGCUUGUUGGUAAUCUCAGUAGGAAAAAGUCCGACAAUGUGGUAAACGGGUUUCAAAAUUUAGAGGGAAGGUUUUAAAAUUGUGGAGUAGGUCACCCCACUGAUUUGGGCUUAAUACUUUUAGGAUUGUGGCCGUGGAAUAAGCCGGUUCUGUAUGGGCUUUGUCAAGAAAGAAAUGUUUGAAUUUAACUGAUUCAGUUAUUUCCAAAAUGCUUUGAUAAUAAGACUGGGGUUUUGUCAAAUCCCAUGGUUUGAAAAACCAGCCUUUGGGAAAAAACUUUGAAAUGCUUUGAAAAUGAUCAGAAUGGUAAAAUCCAUCUUCUAGAAAAAGAAUGUUUUGAAAAUGGGUUUUAUCAAACCAAUCAGAGGUUUUCUUUGAAGGUGUUGGCUGAGAAAGCACAGUUUGGGAGGAUGAGCUUUCAGCAGAGACAACAACAUUUUGGGAAGAGGGUUUUGUAAUUUCAAUUUCUUUUUGGGGAGAAAUUUGGCUUUGAGAAAGGUUUUGGAGGGCAAGCAUGAGCUCAGGUGAUUUUGUAAUGGAACUCAUCCAUUGCUUUACUUGGUCAUCAGAAGAAAUAUAUUUGUAUUGGGCUCCAUGUUCUUCAACCAUUUCAAUCCAAGAUUUAAUGGGCAUGGCAGAAGAGAGUAGUUUUUCUUUAGAAGGGGUAGACUGGGGUUCUUUAGAAGGUUCUUGAGGACCAGAAACUUUGAGAACUGCUUUACCUUUGUCUUUCUUCUUUGGCGGCAUUAUCUGUUUUGAAGAAAUUCUCUGGUUAGAAAAUCAGGAACAGAAUUUUUGUCACCUUUAAUAAAUUCAAUAUCAAAAUCAAAAACACUUAAAAUAGCUUGCCAUCGUGCAAAAAUCUGUUUUGAUGCAAUGUUUUGAACAUCUUUUUCUAAAACAUGUUUUGCAGCUUUGCAAUCAAUUCUAAGUAAAAAUUUUUGAUUUAGUAAAUCACUUUGGAAUUUAGAUAUGCAUAAAACAAUAGAAAUAAUUUCUUUUUUGAUAGUAGAAUAAUUUCUCUGGCAAUCAUUCCAAUGCGCAGAAACAUAUUGUACUAUCUGUUCUUUAUCAUUUUCUUUUUGUUUCAAUAUACCUCCAUAACCUAUGUCAGAUGCAUCAGUUUCAACAAUUUUAGGUAAUGCAGGAUUUGCAAGAAAUAAACAUGGAAUAUUUUUUACAGAUUGCUUUAUUAAUCUAACAACUUUGGUAUGUUCUUCUGACCAUGCAACAUGAUUCUUUUUCAACCUAUCAUGCAAAGGUUUAGACAUCCUAUUGAUAUUAGGGCAAAAAUCGAGAACAUAAUUUAGACUACCAAGAAAUCUUUGUAAUUGGGUUUUGUCCAGAAUCUUGUCUGGGAAUUUAUCUGCAAACAAAAGAGAUCUUUCAAUUGGGGUGAUAGUUCCUUUGGAAAUAUGAUGACCUAGGAACCGGACUUUUGUUUGAAAUAAAGAAAUUUUUGAACUAGAAAGGGCUAACCCAGCUUUUUUAGUAACAAGGUAGAAAGUCUUUAAAUGUUUGAAAUGUUGGUCAAUACUUUGAGAAAAAAUCAAUACAUCAUCAAUGUAAACAAUGCAAAACUCAGAAUAGGGAUUAUAAAUAUCGUUCAUGAUUCUUUGAAAUUCUGAGGGUGUAUUUUUCAAACCAAAAGGCAUUACUGUCCAUUCGUAUUGUCCAAAGGGAACAGUAAAAUCUGUUUUAUAACGAUCUUUAGGAUGGAUUUGUAUUUGCCAAAAACCAGACUUCAUAUCAAAUUUAGAAAAAAUGAAAGCUGAACAGAGUUUUUGGAGCAAAUCUUUUUUAUUAGGUAUUGGGUACCUAAUCCAUUUUAAAGCUUUAUUCAAAGGUUUGUAAUUUAUCACAAGUCUAGGAACGCCUCUUUCAAUUUCAGAAUUUUUGUUGACAUAAAAAGCGGCACAAGACCAUGGAGAUCUGGAUUUUACAAUGAGUCNNNNNNNNNNNNNNNNNNNNNNNNNNNNNNNNNNNNNNNNNNNNNNNNNNNNNNNNNNNNNNNNNNNNNNNNNNNNNNNNNNNNNNNNNNNNNNNNNNNNNNNNNNNNNNNNNNNNNNNNNNNNNNNNNNNNNNNNNNNNNNNNNNNNNNNNNNNNNNNNNNNNNNNNNNNNNNNNNNNNNNNNNNNNNNNNNNNNNNNNNNNNNNNNNNNNNNNNNNNNNNNNNNNNNNNNNNNNNNNNNNNNNNNNNNNNNNNNNNNNNNNNNNNNNNNNNNNNNNNNNNNNNNNNNNNNNNNNNNNNNNNNNNNNNNNNNNNNNNNNNNNNNNNNNNNNNNNNNNNNNNNNNNNNNNNNNNNNNNNNNNNNNNNNNNNNNNNNNNNNNNNNNNNNNNNNNNNNNNNNNNNNNNNNNNNNNNNNNNNNNNNNNNNNNNNNNNNNNNNNNNNNNNNNNNNNNNNNNNNNNNNNNNNNNNNNNNNNNNNNNNNNNNNNNNNNNNNNNNNNNNNNNNNNNNNNNNNNNNNNNNNNNNNNNNNNNNNNNNNNNNNNNNNNNNNNNNNNNNNNNNNNNNNNNNNNNNNNNNNNNNNNNNNNNNNNNNNNNNNNNNNNNNNNNNNNNNNNNNNNNNNNNNNNNNNNNNNNCUUCUCUGAUGCAAUUUAAAUCGCGCCAGUAUCAAAAAGGGCAAUGGCGUCCAUUGCAAAAUCAUCAGAAAAGAUUAAAGUGACUUUAAUCAAAUACUUCUUGUGGUGAUUUGUUUCAAAACAAAUAGGAAAUCAUUGGGUACUGACUCAAUGUUUUCCACUUUUAUUUCAUCACCAUUAUCAGGAUUAGAUUCAUUAUCUGAAUUAUCCUGCAAAUGUUUUUGUAAAAGAAGUUGGAUAGUCUCAGAAUCACUUUUUUGUUUUUCUUUUAAAUCUCUGAUUUCACAUUUAAUUUCUUUUAUCUCUUUCUGAAGAUCCUGGAUAUUAGGAACCAUCUUUUUUGUUUUCUUUUUAUCCAAAAUUUGAGUAAGAUCAUACGAAUUCUUUUUGAUAAUUGGAACUUUAGAAAUCUCAGCAGAGGUUCCGGCUUUGUCGGAAUCCAUAGUUUUCAAAAGUUUAUCAAGAUAAUCCUUUUGAAGAUUUGGAUCAGAAAUAUGCUUUACAAGUUCAAGAAAAAUCUCUUGGUCUUUAGUCAAAACAUUGAUUUUCUUUAAAUAGGAAUCUGAAUCAGAAUCGCUGCUGCUAGAUGCAGAGGUGUCUGAUUCAAAUAACUCAUCUACUUGGAGGGGGUCACUAUCUCCCGUCAUGGAAGACUCAGAGUCUGAAGACUCUAUAAGGAGGGGGGCUAUUUUGGAAAGGAUAUCUUCAUUGAGGUCAAGCUCUUGGAGUCUUUUGUUCAUUCUGCAAAAUUUUGCAGUAUGACCUUUCAUGCCACAUUUAAAACAUGUAGCAUCUUUGAAAUUGAAUGGGGUUUUAGGUUUGGCUUUAAACUCUUUCUUUUUAGAAAAACUAUGUUUCUUAUAAGGCCUUGAAGGUUUCUUAUAAGGAAGUUUCCUAAAAUCAUGAAAGGGUUUCUUAUGGCUCUUAGACUUGUAAUGUUUCUUAUACGGUUUCGAAGAACACUUACCAUUACAAGUUUUGGAAGUAGAAGCUUUAAAGGGGUCAUAGUUGAAUUGCUUACAGAAACUGCCUAACUCUUGCUUAGAUCUCCUAAGCUCCUGCUUCAGACGUUUCUGUAAUUUCAAAUCUUGACAGAUCUUUAAACCUUCUUUAUUGACAAAACUGACUAGUUCACCAUAAGUGAGCUCGUCAUAAGGAAUAUGAUUGUCAUAAAGAGCUUUGAUGGAAUUCCUAACCUUUUCUCCCAAUAGGGUAGGUAAACCUGCAAGGAAUUUUUCCUUCCAAGUUACAUGAUUUGCAUCAUCCCUAAGGAAGAGUCUAGUAAAGAAAGUGGUUUUGUAUUCUUGGAAAUCACUGAGUUUUCUACACCUUAAGUUGUGUAGUAACUCGGCGUUUUUGUCCCUAAGGUGAGAAGGGUCACCUAUGAAAUGAAGGGAAAUGGUCAAUAUCAGGGUGACAACAGCAUCCUGAAUUGGGUUAUUGAAUUCGUCAAGAAUGGGAGCGCCAUUCUCAUCGGUUUGGAUGGCAUUUAAGAUGUCUAAUUGCUGCAAUUUAGUGAGAAGAUGAUCCCACCAUCCUUUAAGUUGACCAGUAAAACCUGCAAUUAGGAUUUCUGCAAUGGCCUUGUCAGAAGUUCCUGAUUGGGUUUUAUAGGCAUUGGCUGCCAUGGUCAUUUGUUGCAAUACACCUAGAAUGUUGUAUUCAGACAUUCCAUCUAUAUUCCACUCAUAGACAGAGGAUGCAUUAUAUCGAGCUUGAUUUAAUGCACUAGGCCUGUUGUCUAUAGUCAAAUCAGGUGGAGAUUUGGAAGUAGGGAUAGCAAGUUCCCAAUGGAUUUUAUUGGCUUUUGAAACAGGUUCUUCGGUAAAGGCUUCUAAGUCAGAAGAGGCAAUAGAAGUUUGGUCAUCUUUCUCUAAUACUCCAAUCUUGCUAGAUUGAGGAGUAUCAUGGGCUAUUUGAACUUUGCUAGAUGAGGAAGAAGUAGCUUCUAUCCUAUCUAAUUGUUCUCUGAUGGCUUUGGUAAAAUCCGAUUUUGAUUCAUUGGCAAGCUUUUGGCUAGUUUUCGAAACCUGAAAGGGUUUGAAAAUAGGUUCCUUAAGCUUUUUAUCAAAAUUUGACUUUGAAGGAAUAGGCUUUGGACUAGGAGAAACAGAUAUGGUUGAUUGUUGGAAUUGGUUUUCUAUCCUAGUCAACUGUUUUCCUAUAGUAUUUAAGUUAGUAUUACAGAAAUUAUUCUGUUGAAUAAUACUACUUAAAUUACUAUCAGUAUCAUUAGGCUUAGGGAUUUUGUAAGGUGAAGCCCUAAUUUCUAUAGGAGGUUCGCCGUGGUCAACGGUUACACUUCGGAGGGGUGGAUGCUCAGAAUCGACAGUUCUAUUACUUUCGGAGAGUUUCCAUUCAGUGGUCUUUUUCCUAAUAGUAAUAGGGUUUGACUCUUUGAAGGGGUAAGAGAUGUUAUUAGAAGAAUAUAUCUCGAACCAAUCAAAAAACAAUAUAUGAACUUGAUGAAGAUUCACAAAUUCAUAAUAGGUUUGUUGGAUUUCUUUCCUUUGAUUUAAAAAGUGUUUGAAAAACCAAAGUCUUUUUUCUUUGUUUAAAUCAGAAUAAAAAUCUUUAUGCAGAAAAGCUUUAUCUAAUUCAAAUUCCUUUUUAAUGACAUUAAUUACAUUUUCUGUAACGGCAGAAAAUGUAGGGGAAGUUGGAGGAGAAGGUUCCUUCUCUUCCUGUCUUUGUUCAUGUUGACUACUAGUGUAAAUAGGGUGAGGAACACUAGUGGCAUAGUCAACAGAUCGUAUAGAAGUGCUAGGUAUAUCUAAAGUUGAAAACCUGGGUUGACUUUGAAAAGGAAGAUUUAUAACGGAAGGGACUUUUGUAAAUUUCCUUUCUGAUGAAGGAAUGCUUGAGCACGAUGUUCUAUCAGAAAAUCUGGAUGAGGUGGAUCUUCUGAAUGACAAUUUGACUUUUCCAUCGGAAUACUGAGUCACAUUUUGCAACUCUGUAUUAGGCUCAAGUUGUUUUGGAAUCGCUGGUGGAGCGGCUCCUUCAAGAAUCCAUUCUUCUGGAAGAUGGACAUCUUUCCAUUGAAUAGGCUUUGGGAUGACUGUGUUGGCUCUAGACAAAUCAGUCUGCAAGAGAAGAGUCUCAUCUCUUUUUGACUGGAAUUUAUGUUGUGUACUGAAUGCAGUGAUCAUUGCCUUAUACGAGAUUUUAAAAAUUAAGGCAACUGGGAUGGAUCCCUCAAUCAUAUUAUAAUUAUGAGUUUUGAUUUGUAGGAUCAUGCUUUUCAAAAUAUUUUUAUCUUUAAGUGAAAUUGUUAUGUUUGGAUAACAAUCAAAUGAAAUUGGACCUUUACAAAGACUGGAUUCGAAUCUACUUAGCAAAGAAUCAUCAAAAGAGAUGGGCGAAAACUCAGUGAUUUCCAAGAAUACAAAACCACUUUCUUUACUAGACUCUUCCUUAGGGAUGAUGCAAAUCAUGUAACUUGGAAGGAAAAAUUCCUUGCAGGUUUACCUACCCUAUUGGGAGAAAAGGUUAGGAAUUCCAUCAAAGCUCUUUAUGACAAUCGUAUUCCUUAUGACGAGCUCACUUAUGGUGAACUAGUCAGUUUUGUCAAUAAAGAAGGUUUAAAGAUCUGUCAAGAUUUGAAAUUACAGAAACGUCUGAAGCAGGAGCUUAGGAGAUCUAAGCAAGAGUUAGGCAGUUUCUGUAAGCAAUUCAACUAUGACCCCUUUAAAGCUUCUACUUCCAAAACUUGUAAUGGUAAGUGUUCUUCGAAACCGUAUAAGAAACAUUACAAGUCUAAGAGCCAUAAGAAAUCCUUUCAUGAUUUUAGGAAACUUCCUUAUAAGAAACCUUCAAGGCCUUAUAAGAAACAUAGUUUUUCUAAAAAGAAAGAGUUUAAAGCCAAACCUAAAACCCCAUUCAAUUUCAAAGAUGCUACAUGUUUUUAAAUGUAGCAUGAAAGGUCAUACUGCAAAAAUUUUGCAGAAAUGAAACAAAAAGACUCCCAAGAGCUUGACCUCAAUGAAAGACAUCCUUUCCAAAAUAGCCCCCCCUCCUUUAUAGAGUCUUCAGACUCUGAGUCUUCCAUGACGGGAGAUAGUGACCCCCUCCAAGUAGAUGAGUUAUUUGAAUCAGACACCUCUGCAUCUAGCAGCAGCGAUUCUGAUUCAGAUUCCUAUUUAAAGAAAAUCAAUGUUUUGACUAAAGACCAAGAGAUUUUUCUUGAACUUGUAAAGCAUAUUUCUGAUCCAAAUCUUCAAAAGGAUUAUCUUGAUAAACUUUUGAAAACUAUGGAUUCCGACAAAGCCGGAACCUCUGCUGAGAUUUCUAAAGUUCCAAUUAUCAAAAAGAAUUCGUAUGAUCUUACUCAAAUUUUGGAUAAAAAGAAAACAAAAAAGAUGGUUCCUAAUAUCCAGGAUCUUCAGAAAGAGAUAAAAGAAAUUAAAUGUGAAAUCAGAGAUUUAAAAGAAAAACAAAAAAGUGAUUCUGAGACUAUCCAACUUCUUUUACAAAAACAUUUGCAGGAUAAUUCAGAUAAUGAAUCUAAUCCUGAUAAUGGUGAUGAAAUAAAAGUGGAAAACAUUGAGUCAGUACCCAAUGAUUUCCUAUUUGUUUUGAAACAAAUCACCAAAAGAAAGUAUUUGAUUAAAGUCACUUUAAUCUUUUCUGAUGAUUUUGCAAUGGACGCCAUUGCCCUUUUUGAUACUGGCGCCGAUUUAAAUUGCAUCAAAGAAGAGAUCGUCCCCAAAAGAUUUCAUGAAAAAACAAAAGAAAGACUUUCUGCCGCUAACAAUUCAAAAUUGAAUGUUAGUUCCAAAGUUGAAGCCUCGAUUUAUAAUAAUAAAAUUGAAUUUAAAACUUCUUUUGUUCUUACAAAUGAUAUACACCAUGCUAUCAUUUUAGGAACCCCUUUUAUAAAUCUUAUAACCCCAUAUGCUGUCAAUUAUGAUGGUAUAUAUUUCAAAGCAAAAUCCAGAGACCUUGUUUUCUCGUUUAUUGAAAAGCUAAAAACUAGGAAUAUAAACAUUGUCAAAGCUUGUUCUGUUUACCAAAACAAAAUCAAUGCCAUUCUUAAAUCCAAACAAGAUGAUUUAUUUUGUUUACAAAAGGAUUUAAAUUUCCAAAGAGUUGAAAGACAACUACAAAGUGAUUUUAUACAAAGAAAAAUCCUCGAUUUCAAAAGCCUUAUUGAAAAAGAAAUAUGUGCUGAUUUACCAUCUGCUUUUUGGAACAGGAAACAAAAUUUGGUAGAUUUGCCUUAUGAAAAUUCUUUUGAUGAAAAACAAAUACCCACUAAAGCACGUCCAAUCCAAAUGAACAUGGAUUUGGAACAACAUUGUAAAGAUGAGAUUAAUGAUCUUGAAAAUAAAGGACUCAUUGUAAAAUCCAGAUCUCCAUGGUCUUGUGCCGCUUUAUAUGUCAACAAAAAUUCUGAAAUUGAAAGAGGCGUUCCUAUACUUGUGAUAAAUUACAAACCUUUGAAUAAAGCUUUAAAAUGGAUUAGGUACCCAAUACUUAAUAAAAAAGAUUUGCUCCAAAAACUCUGUUCAGUUUUCAUUUUUUCUAAAUUUGAUAUGAAGUCUGGUUUUUGGCAAAUACAAAUCCAUCCUAAAGAUCGUUAUAAAACAGCUUUUACUGUUCCCUUUGGACAGUACGAAUGGACAGUAAUGCCUUUUGGUUUGAAAAAUGCACCCUCAGAAUUUCAAAGAAUCAUGAACGAUAUUUAUAAUCCCUAUUCUGAGUUUUGCAUUGUUUACAUUGAUGAUGUAUUGAUUUUUUCUCAAAGUAUUGACCAACAUUUCAAACAUUUAAAGACUUUCCACCUUGUUACUAAAAAAGCUGGGUUAGCCCUUUCUAGUUCAAAAAUUUCUUUAUUUCAAACAAAAGUCCGGUUCCUAGGUCAUCAUAUUUCCAAAGGAACUAUCACCCCAAUUGAAAGAUCUCUUUUGUUUGCAGAUAAAUUCCCAGACAAGAUUCUGGACAAAACCCAAUUACAAAGAUUUCUUGGUAGUCUAAAUUAUGUUCUCGAUUUUUGCCCUAAUAUCAAUAGGAUGUCUAAACCUUUGCAUGAUAGGUUGAAAAAGAAUCCUGUUGCAUGGUCAGAAGAACAUACCAAAGUUGUUAGAUUAAUAAAGCAAUCUGUAAAAAAUAUUCCAUGUUUAUUUCUUGCAAAUCCUGCAUUACCUAAAAUUGUUGAAACUGAUGCAUCUGACAUAGGUUAUGGAGGUAUAUUGAAACAAAAAGAAAAUGAUAAAGAACAGAUAGUACAAUAUGUUUCUGCGCAUUGGAAUGAUUGCCAGAGAAAUUAUUCUACUAUCAAAAAAGAAAUUAUUUCUAUUGUUUUAUGCAUAUCUAAAUUCCAAAGUGAUUUACUAAAUCAAAAAUUUUUACUUAGAAUUGAUUGCAAAGCUGCAAAACAUGUUUUAGAAAAAGAUGUUCAAAACAUUGCAUCAAAACAGAUUUUUGCACGAUGGCAGGCUAUUUUAAGUGUUUUUGAUUUUGAUAUUGAAUUUAUUAAAGGUGACAAAAAUUCUGUUCCUGAUUUUCUAACCAGAGAAUUUCUUCAAAAUAGAUAAUGCCGCCAAAGAAGAAAGACAAAGGUAAAGCAGUUCUCAAAGUUUCUGGUCCUCAAGAACCUUCUAAAAAACCCCAGUCUACCCCUUCUAAAGAAAAACUACUCUCUUCUGCCAUGCCCAUUAAAUCUUGGAUUGAAAUGGUUGAAGAACAUGGAGCCCAAUACAAAUCUAUUUCUUCUGAUGACCAAGUAAAGCAAUGGAUGAGUUCCAUUACAAAAUCACCUGAGCUCAUGCUCGCCCUCCAAAACAUUUCUCAAAGCCAAAUUUCUCCCAAAAAAGAAAUUGAAAUUACAAAACCCUCUUCCCAAAAUGUUGUUGUCUCUGCUGAAAGCUCAUCCUCCCAAACUGUGCUUUCUCAGCCAACACCUUCAAAGAAAACCUCCGAUUGGUUUCAUAAAAUCCAUUUUCAAAACAUUCUUUCUCUAGAAGAUGGAUUUUACCAUUCUGAUCCUUUUCAAAGCAUUUCAAAGUUUUUUCCCAAAGGCUGGUUUUUCAAACCAUGGGAUUUGACAAAACCCCAGUCUUAUUAUCAAAGCAUUUUGGAAAUAACUGAAUCAGUUAAAUUCAAACAUUUCUUUCUUGACAAAGCCCAUACAGAACCGGCUUAUUCCAUGGCCACAAUCCUAAAAGUAUUAAGCCCAAAUCAGUGGGGUGACCUACUCCACAAUUUUAAAACCUUCCCUCUAAAUUUUGAAACCCGUUUACCACAUUGUCGGACUUUUUCCUACUGGGAUUACCAACAAGCAUGGUAUAACACCUUUUUUAUCCAAAACCCUAAAAAAUCUCAUUCUUGGUUAUUUUUCUUCAACACAAAGAUAACCGUUCAAAGCCUUCCAAAUUGGUUUCAGCAUUGGUGGAAUCUUUUUGGCCCAAUUCCACAAAUCCUAACACCAAACGCUACAAAUUGCCUAAACCUCUUCAAAGCUCAUUAUUUACCCUCUGUCUCAGAAAAAAGAUUUCCCCCAUUUCUUUGCUUUUGUGCAAACUUCUUCCUACCAUGGGUCUGUUCGUGGAACCUCCGUUUCCACACCCAAGAAUCCCAAGUCAUCCUUCAAAGAACCUUUAAAGUCAAAUGGUGGUCAAAAUUUGAUGAACAGUCCAAAUUGACUGUCAACAUGAUCAAAGAUUGGCUCUCCUCUAAAAACCUCCUACAACCAACCCUGGAAGCCUCUAAAGCCCAACAGACCUUCCUAACCCAAAAAUCCAAAGCCCAGUCUCUUUUGGCAAGCGCCAAAACUAAAGAUGAGUAUUUCAAAGCCAUGGAACAGCUCCUCGCCUCACGAUCAAAGUCCUCAGCUGCAGAUUCCUCUGAAGAUGAAGAUGAAGAUGUUGAUGAUGACGAAGAGCCUUUCAUUUCUCUCGGAGACGAUAAUGAAGAUGACUGUUUCGGUAUUUUCUCUCCGAUAAAGCAUUGUAAAUAAUUAUUUGAUUAUUUCGGGUGGUCCCCUGGAAACAAGUGAGAGCGUACAUAUCUCUUCACCCGUAUUGUACGUCAGUCUGUAUUUCUGUAUAUGUACAAAGCAUCUACUAUUCAAAGAUACGAUCCAAUUGUUACUGUGCACUUAAAAACCCGCUACAGUGAACAGUGCAGAGUUCCAGAUGUUACUGUGCACUUAAAGUCCCGCUACAGUGAACAGUUUAAAGAUUUUUGUAUAUAAACCGAGAGGAAGACUCAGACUCCUCAGGUUUUUCAUUUCUCAUUUUCAGAGCUUCUCUCUCUACUUCUCCCCCUUCUCUCUCUCUCCGAAGGGUUCCAAAGAAAUUUUCUGUUUACACAAUAGUUCUAUCACAGAGCUUUGGGUGAUCAGACUAGUUCUUUACCUUCAAUCUUCCCGUCUUUCAAUCUUCCCUUCUGGAAAGAUUUGAAAAUUUGUAAAAUCCAGAAAGCAAAAAUGUAUGUUUAAAUUCAGUUCUUUAAAUUUCAAUGUAAUUUAAAUUUUUGCAAUUUACUUUAAAGCAUUUACUUUUCUGCAAUUUAAUUUUAUGCACAUUUAAAUUCCAGCAAUUUAUUUUAAAGCAUUUUUCUUUUCAAAGCAUGUUUGCAGACUGAUCUGUAUCAGAUCUGCCAUAUAAAUUCUACAUUCCUCUGAGGCAAAGAGACCGGAUCUCGAUCCUCAGUCGUAAAUCUUCUCUUCUUCCUCCAUUCCUUUAGAGCACCAUUUCCGGGAUCCGGAUCUGGUACUGUGUAUGUACCCAAACCUUUAAAAGAACCUAAUUUAAAUCUGAUAAUAGCCCAAUAAAAAGAAUCAACCACGUUUAAAGUAACUUAACUUUAUUUGGUAAAAUAAAACUAAGUUGGUAUAUCGGCUGGAAACCCGAACGUGCGGACUAUUGAUCUGUUCUAAGUCAGAUCUGGGUCCAAAGGCUUCACUUUGUGUAGCAUCGAUCUGGUUUAACAACGCCACGUACCAAUUAGUUAUUAAAAUCUGACUAACCGCGUUCAAAUUUGUUUGAUCACUGUAUGAUCUAAAGAACUCCAUAAUCAAAGCUGGUAAUUUAUUAUUUUAAAAUUUGGAAAAGCCGAUCCAUUAAUUGUUUAAUUAGAGUUUUAAUAUUGAAAUCCUACGAAAGCACAUCCAUCCUUCGAUCCUAAUUCCUUCUGGUAUCAAUAUCAAAAUAUUUAUAUUAUUAAACUUUUAGGCCUAAUUAACUAAUUAAAGUCCUAAAUUUUUAUUUAGGACAUUAAAAAAACGGGUAAAUUCUAUUAGCCCAAAAAUUUUGUUUUAAUUUUAAUAUUCAUUAAAUGUUUUAAACUUAAAUAUAUUUAUUUAUUUAUUUUUAGAUGUUAUAAUUGCCCACAGCGAAUCGUAAUUUUAAUAUCUAAUCUAAUCUAAUCUAAUAUUUGCUCUUGAUUUGCUCCGACUUAACUAUUGUGGUGUAAAGGGAAUAAUCCACAUUUAUAAAGUGCCCACACCACCAUUGAAAAAGUUAAUUUUCAAUCUAAAUUCGAUUUUAUUUGUAACAAUUUUGUAUUAGACUAUUAAUUUAUUCACGAUAGUUUGUAAAAGAAGUUUGUAAAAGAAGUUUGUAUCCCUUGCAUGCUGCGUUACUUACUAAUUUAAUGUAUGUGACUUUUGUAAUGGAUAUUAAUGUAAGAUAUAUUUAAAACUUUACUUUUAUUUGAAUUUUUUAUUUUAAUAUGAUUAACUCAAAAUCAAAAACAAAAACAAAAAAAUGUAUUAGUUAUUCGGGGAUUGAGGACCCUCGGGGAUCCCCUGUUAUUAUUCGGGGAGGGGAUGAAGAUUCUCUCAAGUAAUUCUGACGGGGACGGGGACAUGCGCAAAAUAUCGGGGAUGGGUACGAGGAGAUUGGUCCCCUCCCCUCCCCUCUCCAUUGCCCUCCCCUUUCUGUAGAACUUAGUUUUCACGCUUAUCUUCCAGAAGCUCCUUACUUCGUAUAAUCACAAAGAGAUGGAAAUAAAAUUAACUACAGAGCCACAAUUAAUUAUCAUUGCGCUUCAUAUUAACACAAGUAUUCGAGGACAAUAACUCGUCAAACAGAUGCAACAGAACUAGAUACCUGGGCAUGUGUACCAAACUACCAACUUCAUGAAAAUGAUUGAACAACUCUAAAGAUCAGAUACACUUUUCUCAGAAUCAAUACUUGCAUCAGACAUCAGUGACCGAGUCAUCUUCAAGAAGAAAGGCCCUGGCAUAAGGGCCCUGCCUAUUUUGGCUUUCUUUAAAAUAUAUAUAUAUAUAUAUAUAUAUAACUUAUUUUACUAAGCAUUAUUUCUUAAAAUUGUUGAUCAAUAAGAAAUCUACAUUUCAAUACUAACAAAAGACAUCAAAUCCUUUAUGUAGUGAAAAUAGGUUUUCAUCCUUAGCAGCUGAAGCUUUUAGAAAAGGAGAGGGCUGUAGAAAGAAACAACUUUUUUCUUUGGAUAUAAUCUCCACCGUAGCAACUAUAAAAAUUAUGAAAAAAAAAUUACCAAAAAGGAGAAUCGAUACAAAAGGAAGCUGGAAGUCCCCUCCUUUUCUCCAAACAAAUACAAUCAUUUCAGUUUACAACUAAGAACCAUUCUAUUAAUUUUCAACCAAUGAAAUAACCAUAUUAAAAAAUAAUUAUACUAUAAAUCCAAUAUUGAUACGGAAUUUACAAUUUAUGCUACACUUAAAUGGUCAUAUCCUUAAAAGAAAUUUGUUCAUCCUGCAUGGUAUAAGUUGUCUACAUCAUCUAUUAAUAUUAUGCCUCAUCAGUCCAUUUGGAUUAUUAAUCUUGAUAUGGUAAAACUAACCACUAGAUUAUAACUUUGUAACCUGUUUAAACAAACUCAUAAAUCAGAAACUGAAACUGAAAAGACAAAAGGAUAUAAAGCAACAAAAACUUGAAGGAUUUCUGCAGGGUAACAAUUAGAACACAAUAAGCAAUUAGCAUAACCCAUAAGAGCACUGUGUAAUCACUCACCAACACUCCGAGCUUGUCCUAAACUAUGUAAUCAGUCGUUUCAUUUUAUGAGGUAGAGAAUUCCUAAAAACUUGAUGAAGAGACAACAGAAGUCAGCCCACAUUGCACCAAAAGCAAAUACACUUCAAUUAGGAAAGAAAGCCAUCAAACCUAAAAGUAAGCAGCAAAAACGUUCAUGCCAAAAUUAUGAUUAUGAAAAGCUAAUUCCAAUUCUUCUUACUUGAUCCUCCAGUUCUUGCUGAUAGGCAACUUUUUUUUUUUUUCAAUUCUAUUUCUCAGUCCAAGAUGCUCAGCCUGCAUUAAAUACAAAUCUACACAGAAUUAUAAAAAUAUCAGGUAAUAAAUAACUCAAAAGAUUAUAUUCACAGAAGCAGCAGCAAGGCUUCCUUGAAACAGAACUCCAACAGAAACUGCAAAACAAGGAUAGCGUAUGGAUUGUAUUCAUUUUCAUACCUCAUAUUUAAUAAUAGAACAUAUGCAAGCUUGUUGUUUCUGUCAGGCAUUUCAACAAAUAACUUGAAGACUCUACUUCGAAAAAUUUCAUCAAACAUCAGCGUAAUGUACCAAUGUACAGGAUCCAAGCACAGAUUUAACACAUCGGCAAAUCACUCAAAAAUACAUAAUUAAAAAUAAAACCACAGACAAUGAAAUGACAUAAAUCAUCCGAUCCCAAUUUCACAAAACGAAACUACUAUUAUAGCGCACAAGUAUCAGCAAAUAAGAUCGAAGAAGCUAGAGAAACUAUAAGAUACGAACCAAAUGUAAAAGCAUCGUUACCUACUGUUAUGGCCGCACGUCGGCUAUCAGCUCAGGCGGUCAGAUUUUUCACUGGUGACGAAGCUAAUCAUUUGACUGAUAUUUAGGCUUUGAGCAAUAAUAUAGCCAUAAUUGGAUUGUAGGAUUAAAUAUUUCUUAAUCCACAUUAUUUAUUUUUUUAUUUUAUAUAUUUAUUUAACUAAUAAAUUAAUAUUAAAUUAAUUAAUAUAAAAU
rnacentral:lncRNA from 1 species